GACGAACGCUGGCGGCGUGCUUAACACAUGCAAGUCGAACGGAAAGGCCCCUUUGGGGGUACUCGAGUGGCGAACGGGUGAGUAACACGUGAGUAACCUUCCCUUGACUUCGGGAUAACUUCAGGAAACUGGGGCUAAUACCGGAUAGGAAUCCUUUCUUCAUGGUGGUGGUUGGAAAGCUUCGGCGGUUUUGGAUGGACUCGCGGCUUAUCAGCUUGUUGGUGGGGUAGUGGCUUACCAAGGCUUUGACGGGUAGCCGGCCUGAGAGGGCGACCGGCCACAUUGGGACUGAGGUACGGCCCAGACUCCUACGGGAGGCAGCAGUGGGGAAGAUUGAACAAUGGGCGGAAGCCUGAUGCAGCAACGCCGCGUGCGGGAAGACGGCCUUCGGGUUGAAAACCGCUUUCAGCAGGGGCGAAGCUUGUGGUGACGGUACCUGCAGAAGAAGCACCGGCUAACUACGUG
rnacentral:rRNA from 1 species